rnacentral:rRNA from 1 species
GACGAGCGCUGGCGGCGUGCUUAACACAUGCAAGUCGAGCGGAAAGCCUCCUUCGGGGGUACUCGAGCGGCGAACGGGUGAGUAACACGUGAGUAAUCUGCCCUGCGCUCUGGGAUAGCCACCGGAAACGGUGAUUAAUACCGGAUAUGACCGCUACACGCAUGUGUUGGUGGUGGAAAGUUUUUCGGCGCAGGAUGUGCUCGCGGCCUAUCAGCUUGUUGGUGAGGUAAUGGCUCACCAAGGCUUUGACGGGUAGCCGGCCUGAGAGGGUGACCGGUCACACUGGGACUGCGACACGGCCCAGACUCCUACGGGAGGCAGCAGUGGGGAAUAUUGGACAAUGGGCGGAAGCCUGAUCCAGCAACGCCGCGUGAGGGAUGACGGCCUUCGGGUUGUAAACCUCUUUCAGUACCGACGAAGCGAAAGUGACGGUAGGUACAGAAGAAGGACCGGCCAACUACGUGCCAGCAGCCGCCGUAAAAC